UACGUAGGGCGCGAGCGUUGUCCGGAAUUAUUGGGCGUAAAGAGCUCGUAGGCGGCUUGUCGCGUCUGCUGUGAAAUCCCGGGGCUUAACCCCGGGCGUGCAGUGGAUACGGGCAGGCUGGAGGCAGGCAGGGGAGAACGGAAUUCCCGGUGUAGCGGUGAAAUGCGCAGAUAUCGGGAGGAACACCGGUGGCGAAGGCGGUUCUCUGGGCCUGUUCUGACGCUGGGGAGCGAAAGCGUGGGGAGCGAACAGGAUUAGAUACCCUUGUAGUCC
rnacentral:rRNA from 1 species